rfam:Lactobacillus concavus DSM 17758 NODE_30, whole genome shotgun sequence.
GGUCAAGUUAUAAAGGGCGCACGGUGAAUGCCUUGGCACUAGGAGUCGACGAAGGACGGGACGAACACCGAUAUGCUUCGGGGAGCUGUAAGUAAGCAAUGAUCCGGAGAUUUCCGAAUGGGGCAACCCAAUCAUCCGUAGGAUGAUUACAGCUUAGUGAAUACAUAGCUAAGUUGAGACAAACGUGGGGAACUGAAACAUCUCAGUACCUGCAGGAAGAGAAAGAAAAUCGAUUUCCUCAGUAGCGGCGAGCGAACGGGAAACAGCCCAAACCAAUGAGCUUGCUUAUUGGGGUUGUAGGACAAAACACAUGGAGUUACAAAAGUAUCAGUUAGUCGAAGCAGAUGGGAAGCUGCGCUAAAGAGAGUGAGAGCCUCGUAGACAAAAACUGGUACCCUCCGUUUUGGAUCCUGAGUACGGCCAAACACGAGAAAUUUGGUCGGAAGCUGGGAGGACCAUCUCCCAAGGCUAAAUACUACCUAGUGACCGAUAGUGAACCAGUACCGUGAGGGAAAGGUGAAAAGCACCCCGGGAGGGGAGUGAAAUAGAUCCUGAAACCGUGUGCCUACAAGUAGUCAAAGCCCGUUAAUGGGUAAUGGCGUGCCUUUUGUAGAAUGAACCGGCGAGUUAUGUUUUCAUGCGAGGUUAAGUUGAAAAGACGGAGCCAUAGCGAAAGCGAGUCUGAAUAGGGCGUUAAGUAUGAGGAUGUAGACCCGAAACCAAGUGACCUACCCAUGUCCAGGUUGAAGGUGUGGUAAAACGCACUGGAGGACCGAACCCACGCAUGUUGAAAAAUGCGGGGAUGAGGUGUGGGUAGCGGUGAAAUUCCAAACGAACUUGGAGAUAGCUGGUUCUCUCCGAAAUAGCUUUAGGGCUAGCCUCGAGGCUAGGAUCAUGGAGGUAGAGCACUGUUUGGACUAGGGGCCCGUCAAGGGUUACUGAAUCCAGAUAAACUCCGAAUGCCAUUGAUCUAGUCCUCGGGAGUCAGACUGCGAGUGAUAAGAUCCGUAGUCGAAAGGGAAACAGCCCAGAUCACCAGUUAAGGUCCCCAAAUCUAUGCUAAGUGGAAAAGGAUGUGGAGUUGCGCAGACAACUAGGAUGUUGGCUCAGAAGCAGCCACCAUUCAAAGAGUGCGUAAUAGCUCACUAGUCGAGUGACUCUGCGCCGAAAAUGUACCGGGGCUAAGCAUAGUACCGAAACUGUGGAUGCACCCGUAAGGGUGUGUGGUAGGAGAGCGUUCUAAGGGCGGUGAAGCUAGAUCGUAAGGACUAGUGGAGCGCUUAGAAGUGAGAAUGCCGGUAUGAGUAGCGAAAGAUCAGUGAGAAUCUGAUCCACCGAAUGACUAAGGUUUCCUGGGGAAGGCUCGUCCUCCCAGGGUUAGUCGGGACCUAAGGCGAGGCCGCAAGGCGUAGUCGAUGGCAAGCAGGUCGAGAUUCCUGCACUUCUUUGUUUCGUUUGAGUGAUGGAGGGACACAGGAGGCUAAGUCGAGCAUGCGACUGGAAAAGCAUGUCCAAGUAACAAGUCUGAAGAUGAGUUAAAUGCUUAUUUUCAUUAAGGACAAGUUAUGAUGGGGAGCGAAAUUUAAGUAGCGAAGCGACUGAUGUCACACUGUCAAGAAAAGCUUCUAGCGAGAAACAAAGGACCCGUACCGCAAACCGACACAGGUAGUCGAGGAGAGUAUCCUAAGGUGAGCGAGUGAACUAUCGUUAAGGAACUCGGCAAAAUGACCCCGUAACUUCGGGAGAAGGGGUGCUGACCGCAAGGUCAGCCGCAGUGAAUAGGCCCAAACAACUGUUUAUCAAAAACACAGGUCUCUGCAAAAUCGAAAGAUGACGUAUAGGGGCUGACGCCUGCCCGGUGCUGGAAGGUUAAGAGGAGUGCUUAGGUGUAAACCGAAGGUACGAAUUGAAGCCCCAGUAAACGGCGGCCGUAACUAUAACGGUCCUAAGGUAGCGAAAUUCCUUGUCGGGUAAGUUCCGACCCGCACGAAAGGCGUAAUGAUUUGGGCACUGUCUCAACGAUAGACUCGGUGAAAUUAUAUUACCCGUGAAGAUGCGGGUUACCCGCGACAGGACGGAAAGACCCCAUGGAGCUUUACUGUAGCUUGAUAUUGAGUGUUUGUAAAACAUGUACAGGAUAGGUAGGAGCCGAAGAAGUAGGGACGCUAGUUUCUACGGAGGCAAUGGUGGGAUACUACCCUUGUUUUAUGAACAUUCUAACCCGCGCCACUCACGUGGCGGGAGACAGUGUCAGGUGGGCAGUUUGACUGGGGCGGUCGCCUCCUAAAGUGUAACGGAGGCGCUCAAAGGUUCCCUCAGAAUGGUUGGAAAUCAUUCGUAGAGUGUAAAGGUAAAAGGGAGCUUGACUGCGAGACAGACAAGUCGAGCAGGGACGAAAGUCGGACUUAGUGAUCCGGUGGUACCGUAUGGAAGGGCCAUCGCUCAACGGAUAAAAGCUACCCUGGGGAUAACAGGCUUAUCUUCCCCAAGAGUCCACAUCGACGGGAAGGUUUGGCACCUCGAUGUCGGCUCAUCGCAUCCUGGGGCUGAAGUUGGUCCCAAGGGUUGGGCUGUUCGCCCAUUAAAGCGGUACGCGAGCUGGGUUCAGAACGUCGUGAGACAGUUCGGUCCCUAUCCGUCGCGGGCGUAGGAAAUUUGAGAGAAGCUGUCCUUAGUACGAGAGGACCGGGAUGGACAUACCGCUGGUGUACCAGUUGUGCCGCCAGGCGCAGAGCUGGGUAGCUAUGUAUGGACGGGAUAAACGCUGAAAGCAUCUAAGUGUGAAGCCCCUCUCGAGAUGAGAUUUCCCAUAACAUAAGUUAGUAAGACCCCUCAGAGAUGAUGAGGUAGAUAGGCUGGGAGUGGAAGUCUAGUGAUAGAUGGAGCGGACCAGUACUAAUCGGUCGAGGGCUUGACCAA